UACGGAGGGUGCGAGCGUUGUCCGGAAUCACUGGGCGUAAAGGGCGCGUAGGUGGCCUGGGGAAGUCUGCGGUGAAAGCCCGGCGCUCAACGCCGGGUCGGCCGUGGAUACUCUCGGGCUUGAGCUUACUAGAGGCAGAUGGAAUUCCGGGUGUAGCGGUGGAAUGCGUAGAGAUCCGGAAGAACACCGGUGGCGAAGGCGGUCUGCUGGGGUAAUGCUGACACUGAGGCGCGACAGCGUGGGGAGCAAACAGG
rnacentral:rRNA from 1 species